GGGGCUGUGGCGCAAUUGGUAGCGCGUGAGACUCCAGAUCUCAAGGUUGCCCGAUCGAGACGGACCAGCCUCA